GGAUGAAGGAUGGAUCCCAGGACGGGGGACCUGGGGAAAAUAAGAGCAGCAUGUCCUGGCCGUCAUAAAAGCUACUCUGGAAAUUCUUCAAUGGCCCAGCAUUCCACCUAUUUUAUAUACUCUGUGUCCCACAAAAAUCCAGUGAGUACUGAGGAGAUGGCCUGCUGCAUGCCCCCAAACCCUCUAAACUAUGACUCUUGUUAAUGAACUGCGAAAAUGUGCGGUGCAUUGCACCAGACACCACACACACCACCUGAGCCUCAGCAUUACCCUCCGAGACCCAAUUCCUAAUAUUCCCAUUGGACGUGGUAUGAAGACUGCUGCUUCAUCUCAACUCUAGGACAGCAAAGAUUUGUUUUCCUCUUCUACCUGGGUCUGGAAGAACUGCAGUCCCCACCUGAUUCUCCCAUUGAAGGAUCCUUCAACAACCACAGAGAAAGCCCUGGUCUUUUCCUGAGCACUUCAAUGGAUCUGAGAUAAAAAUCACUGACAUUCCUUCA